AGUUUGAUUCUGCUCAGAUUGAACGCUGGCGGCAGGCCUAACACAUGCAAGUCGAGCGGAUGAGAAGAGCUUGCUCUUCGAUUCAGCGGCGGACGGGUGAGUAAUGCCUAGGAAUCUGCCUGGUAGUGGGGGACAACGUUUCGAAAGGAACGCUAAUACCGCAUACGUCCUACGGGAGAAAGCAGGGGACCUUCGGGCCUUGCGCUAUCAGAUGAGCCUAGGUCGGAUUAGCUAGUUGGUGAGGUAAUGGCUCACCAAGGCGACGAUCCGUAACUGGUCUGAGAGGAUGAUCAGUCACACUGGAACUGAGACACGGUCCAGACUCCUACGGGAGGCAGCAGUGGGGAAUAUUGGACAAUGGGCGAAAGCCUGAUCCAGCCAUGCCGCGUGUGUGAAGAAGGUCUUCGGAUUGUAAAGCACUUUAAGUUGGGAGGAAGGGCAGUAAGCGAAUACCUUGCUGUUUUGACGUUACCGACAGAAUAAGCACCGGCUAACUCUGUGCCAGCAGCCGCGGUAAUACAGAGGGUGCAAGCGUUAAUCGGAAUUACUGGGCGUAAAGCGCGCGUAGGUGGUUUGUUAAGUUGGAUGUGAAAGCCCCGGGCUCAACCUGGGAACUGCAUCCAAAACUGGCAAGCUAGAGUACGGUAGAGGGUGGUGGAAUUUCCUGUGUAGCGGUGAAAUGCGUAGAUAUAGGAAGGAACACCAGUGGCGAAGGCGACCACCUGGACUGAUACUGACACUGAGGUCGAAACGCCUUACG
rnacentral:rRNA from 1 species